AAUUAUUUAUUUGAUGGUUUCUUACUACUUGGAUAACCGUAGUAAUUCUAGAGCUAAUACAUGCGUAAAGUCCCGACUCUCGCGGGGAGGGAUGUAUUUAUUAGAUUAAAAACCAAUGCGGCCUCUGGUCGGUUAUUUGGUGAAUCAUAGUAACUUUUCGAAUCGCAUGGCUUCACGCCGGCGAUAGUUCAUUCAAAUUUCUGCCCUAUCAGCUUUCGACGGUAGUGUAGUGGACUACCGUGGCUUUAACGGGUAACGGAGAAUUAGGGUUCGAUUCCGGAGAGGGAGCCUGAGAAACGGCUACCACA
rnacentral:rRNA from 1 species